UUAUGUGACACUUGUGAUUGGAAUUGUUGGUAAUUGUCUAUGUGUGUUAGACUUGUUUUAUGUGUUGAUUGUCCGAUGAUUGUAAAUAUAACUUCCUUCAAUCUCUCGUAUACUAUGAUUGGUAUGAUGGUGAUGUAUAUUUAUGAUUUAUGAAUAUGCAUGAUUUUGAUGAAGUGUUUAAGUAUCGUUUACUUACACUUGUAGAUUUUGAGUAUGUUAUCUAACUCUCUUUUAUGUGUUGGACCUUUGGGGGUCCAGAUUCACAGGUUUUGUGUUUAUCGAUGUCGAGUCGUCGAUGAAGCUCCGCUCUGAUUGUGACAUGGGAAAAAAGGUUUUAUAUUGUAUAUAAAGUCUAUUGUCUAGGUUGUUUUGUAUAAUCAAUAAAUACAGUAUUUGAUUCAAAGAUUUGUAUAAACAAGCAUUUUUAC
rnacentral:lncRNA from 1 species